rnacentral:rRNA from 1 species
GACGAACGCUGGCGGCGUGCCUAAUACAUGCAAGUCGAACGAACUCUGGUAUUGAUUGGUGCUUGCAUCAUGAUUUACAUUUGAGUGAGUGGCGAACUGGUGAGUAACACGUGGGAAACCUGCCCAGAAGCGGGGGAUAACACCUGGAAACAGAUGCUAAUACCGCAUAACAACUUGGACCGCAUGGUCCGAGUUUGAAAGAUGGCUUCGGCUAUCACUUUUGGAUGGUCCCGCGGCGUAUUAGCUAGAUGGUGGGGUAACGGCUCACCAUGGCAAUGAUACGUAGCCGACCUGAGAGGGUAAUCGGCCACAUUGGGACUGAGACACGGNCCAAACUCCUACGGGAGGCAGCAGUAGGGAAUCUUCCACAAUGGACGAAAGUCUGAUGGAGCAACGCCGCGUGAGUGAAGAAGGGUUUCGGCUCGUAAAACUCUGUUGUUAAAGAAGAACAUAUCUGAGAGUAACUGUUCAGGUAUUGACGGUAUUUAACCAGAAAGCCACGGCUAACUACGUGCCAGCAGCCGCGGUAAUACGUAGGUGGCAAGCGUUGUCCGGAUUUAUUGGGCGUAAAGCGAGCGCAGGCGGUUUUUUAAGUCUGAUGUGAAAGCCUUCGGCUCAACCGAAGAAGUGCAUCGGAAACUGGGAAACUUGAGUGCANAAGAGGACAGUGGAACUCCAUGUGUAGCGGUGAAAUGCGUAGAUAUAUGGAAGAACACCAGUGGCGAAGGCGGCUGUCUGGUCUGUAACUGACGCUGAGGCUCGAAAGUAUGGGUAGCAAACAGGAUUAGAUACCCUGGUAGUCCAUACCGUAAACGAUGAAUGCUAAGUGUUGGAGGGUUUCCGCCCUUCAGUGCUGCAGCUAACGCAUUAAGCAUUCCGCCUGGGGAGUACGGCCGCAAGGCUGAAACUCAAAGGAAUUGACGGGGGCCCGCACAAGCGGUGGAGCAUGUGGUUUAAUUCGAAGCUACGCGAAGAACCUUACCAGGUCUUGACAUACUAUGCAAAUCUAAGAGAUUAGACGUUCCCUUCGGGGACAUGGAUACAGGUGGUGCAUGGUUGUCGUCAGCUCGUGUCGUGAGAUGUUGGGUUAAGUCCCGCAACGAGCGCAACCCUUAUUAUCAGUUGCCAGCAUUAAGUUGGGCACUCUGGUGAGACUGCCGGUGACAAACCGGAGGAAGGUGGGGAUGACGUCAAAUCAUCAUGCCCCUUAUGACCUGGGCUACACACGUGCUACAAUGGAUGGUACAACGAGUUGCGAACUCGCGAGAGUAAGCUAAUCUCUUAAAGCCAUUCUCAGUUCGGAUUGUAGGCUGCAACUCGCCUACAUGAAGUCGGAAUCGCUAGUAAUCGCGGAUCAGCAUGCCGCGGUGAAUACGUUCCCGGGCCUUGUACACACCGCCCGUCACACCAUGAGAGUUUGUAACACCCAAAGUCGGUGGGGUAACCUUUUAGGAACCAGCCGCCUAAGGUGGGACAGAUGAUUAGGGUGAAG